rnacentral:rRNA from 1 species
UGCGUAGGCGGUUUGGUAAGUCAGAUGUGAAAUUCCUGGGCUCAACCGGGGAACUGCAUUUGAUACUGCCAGACUAGAGUACUGGAGAGGAGACUGGAAUUUACGGUGUAGCAGUGAAAUGCGUAGAUAUCGUAAGGAAGGCCAGUGGCGAAGGCGAGUCUCUGGACAGUAACUGACGCUGAGGCACGAAGGCUAGGGGAGCAAACG